AACGGUUUCCGUACGAUCAACGAAGUUAAGCAACGACGAGCCUGGUCAGUACCUAGAUGAGUGACCGUGUAGGAAUAUCAGGUGCUGUUA